AAGAUGGUGAUGGUACUAGCUUUCACUCUGUUCUGAGUGGCGUGUGUGGUAGGCAAGCACGCACUCACACACCCUUUGCCAUCUCUACAUUGUAGCUCUUGCUGUAGGCUGAGGCCACGGAGUUAUGUUGAGAGGAAAGCUCAGGUCUCUGUGUCUUGAUGCCAGACGGUUACUGGCAGGCGCGAGCGGAGCUAUGUCGCUCGGGUUACCCCCAGAUGCCACUCCCUUCCCUUCGGUAGGAGGAGACUGAGUCUGCUUUGGGCAGGAGCUGCUCGACUCUUCCUUGCUCGGCAGUGGCUGCGGCUUAGGUCUCCACGUCGGACAAUCAGAGUUGGAAUUCCUCAGGCUCUGAAGGGGACCCCGAGACUGAACUUGGGCUGCCUGUUGAGCUCUGUGGGGUGCUCAGCAAGCCACAUGACUUUGAUGAAUGAAGAUUUUAUAUCAGCGUAAAUGGUAGUGUUUGGUACCUCCGAGCUCAGGACCCAGGCCACAGACAACAGUGGGUAGAUGCAAUAGAACAACACAAGGACAUGGAGAAGAGGAGAAGAAUAGAAGAAGCAUACAAAAAUGCUUUGACAGAACUGAAGAAAAAGUCCCACUUUGGAGGGCUGGACUAUGAGGAGGGUCCUAAUAGUCUGAUUAAUGAAGAAGAAUUCUUUGAUGCUGUUGAAGCUGCUCUCGAUAGGCAGGAUAAAAUGGAAGAACGGGUAUCGAUGCUUGAAAAAUGUUAAUGAUGGGCACUUCAUAGAAGACUUUUGUGACUUAAACUCAAUCCUGGGGUGCAUCUCCUGAAACUCUAGAUAUUUUAUACUGACACUUAUAAUUGGAAUUUAGUUCUUAAUUUUUGUAUGGUUGAAUACUGUUGCUUAACACUAAUUUUGAGAAUGUGACUUCACAGUUCACAUAGAAAAGGACAGUAUAAGUGUUAACCUAAUGGAAUAUCUCUGGUUUCUAAUUCUUAAAGAAGUAUAUUAGGGUCCUGUAUAAAGCUUAUCUUUGUAUUUGUGAGAAAAUUUAAUUAUCACAUACGUAGCUAAUGCCCUGUGCAAGUAAGAAUAUCAAACACUGCAGCUAUUUCUCAAAUCCUAAUUACUGCCCUGAAGUUUCUUUUGGUGAUAGCGGUAUGUGAAAUAGGAAAGAUAUAGUUCUACUGAUGUUUCUUUUUUAUUUUAAAAAAAUGUGUAGGCUCUAGCUACUUCUCUAACUCAUUUCUUGAAUACACUUCUGUGGCAAGGAUGAGAAAAAGAUGAAAAAGAGAUAAAAUGCAUGGGAUUAAAUAUAUAGUAUAUGAGAACAUAUAGUAGCGUAUAAAAUGAGAGGGAAUAACAAAGUGGUACAUCCUUUGUCUUAAGCAUUUAGGCUUGUGAAUACACUGACUUGGUUAAGAAUUAUAAGACUUACCAGUAGACAUACAGUAUGCAACAGAAUUUACCUAUGGUGGGGUCUCUUAAUGGCAAGUAAAAGUUUUGAGUGAUUGUUACUACUACAUUGAUGCAACAUCCUUAAUGCUGUUGAUCAAUUUUCCUUAACCCAGAAACAUACCUUGAAGUAUAGAUGAAUGGGUAAUUCAGUCUCCAGGCCCAUUCACUUAUCUGAGAAGUCCAGCAGGACACUAACUUAAUGCCUGUCAGGGACAGCGUUAGUUCUUGUUUUAAUGUGGUAGCCACUAUAUAGAUUGAGGAUGACUCACUGCUUAAUAGUCUACCCAGUAAUAUCUGACUACCAAUAAUUAAACCUAUUUUGUUGCAGUCUCAAAGUGAAAAGGUCAGAUUGCACUGGCCAAUAUCCUUACCUUCUGGAGAUGCAUAUUCUGCUGUGGAGGCUCAUCGAUUUGUUCAAAAGUAAUAUAUUUUCCAUGGUCACCUCAGACUAAUGGGAUGACAUGAUGUCCUGGUUUCAGUUAGCACAGAAUUAAUUUUCUUCCUAGUAGCUGGUGGAAUGCUGUGUUUUGGCUUAGGAUGAGAAGAGUGCUGAUAACACCCCGAUGCUUUAAUUGUUGCAGAGCAG